rnacentral:rRNA from 1 species
GAUGAACGCUGGCGGCGUGCCUAAUACAUGCAAGUCGUGCGGAAAGGCCACUUCGGUGGUACUCGAGCGGCGGACGGCAGAGUAACGCGUAGGAACAUACCCCAAACUGAGGGAUAACUGCUCGAAAGAGUAGCUAAUACCGCAUGUGAUCUUCGGAUUAAAGCUUCGGCGGUUUGGGAAUGGCCUGCGUCCGAUUAGCUUGUUGGUGAGGUAAUAGCUCACCAAGGCGACGAUCGGUAGCUGGUCUGAGAGGAUGAUCAGCCUGACUGGAACUGAGAACGGUCCAGACUCCUACGGGAGGCAGCAGUAGGGAAUUUUCCACAAUGGGCGAAAGCCUGAUGGAGCAACGCCGCGUGCAGGAUGAAUGCCUUCGGGUUGUAAACUGCUUUUAUUAGUGAAGAAUAUGACGGUAACUAAUGAAUAAGGGUCGGCUAACUACGUGCCAGCAGCCGCGGUAAU